GACGAACGCUGGCGGCGGGCUUAACACAUGCAAGUCGAACGGAAAGGCCCUGCUUUUGUGGGGUGCUCGAGUGGCGAACGGGUGAGUAACACGUGAGUAACCUGCCCUUGACUUUGGGAUAACUUCAGGAAACUGGGGCUAAUACCGGAUAGGAGCUCCUGCUGCAUGGUGGGGGUUGGAAAGUUUCGGCGGUUGGGGAUGGACUCGCGGCUUAUCAGCUUGUUGGUGGGGUAGUGGCUUACCAAGGCUUUGACGGGUAGCCGGCCUGAGAGGGUGACCGGCCACAUUGGGACUGAGAUACGGACCAGACUCCUACGGGAGGCAGCAGUGGGGAAUAUUGCCCAAUGGGCGGAAGCCUGAUGCAGCAACGCCGCGUGCGGGAUGACGGCCUUCGGGUUGUAAACCGCUUUCGCCUGUGACGAAGCGUGAGUGACGGUAAUGGGUAAAGAAGCACCGGCUAACUACGUG
rnacentral:rRNA from 1 species